rnacentral:lncRNA from 1 species
UUUUUUUAAAGAUUUUAUUUAUUUAUUCAUGAGAGACACAGAGACACAGGCAGAGGGAGAAGCAGGCUCUCCACAGGGAGCCCGAUGCAGGACUUGAUCCUGGGACCCCCGGACUACAACCUGAGCUGAAGGUAGAUGCUCAACCACUGAGCCACCUAGUUGCCCUGGUUUUGUUCUUCUUCUUUUUUUUAAAAUUUUUUUAUUUUAUUUACUUAUUCAUGAGAGAGAGAGAGAGAGGCAGAGACACAGGCAGAAGCAGGCUCCAUGCAGGAAGACCAAUGUGGGACUCGAGCCCUGGUCUCUGGGGUCAUGCCCUGGGCUGAAGUCAGCGCUAAACUGCUGAGCCACCCCGGCUGCCCUCCUGGUUUUGUUCUAAAGCAAAGUUUCUCAGCCUCAGCAUGACUAGACUUUGGAGCUGAGUCAUUCUCAAUGGGUCCUGGGGGGCUGUCCUGCAUGCAGGGUGCCAAGUAGCACCCUCCCCCUCCCUUAAUGAGACAACCAAAACCGUCUCCAGGCAUUGAAAUCGUUGAGGGGACGGGUGUAUUCAUCAUCUCCUUCUAUUCUGUGUUGUUGAUGCUUUGACACGUUGAGGUCUGGCUGACACUGGAGGGACCCACCACCCUUUUCAGGUCUAGCUAAUUCCUAGAAGGAGCAAACAACUGGCCCUUGAGUGUGCCUUUCCUAUGAAGACCACCCCUUUAUUUCACGCCAGGUCCCUCUUCUCUGUCCUAAUCCAGGGGGGCAGGUACCAGACAACCAGGGACAUCCCCUGAUGGCCAAGAGCGCAUCCUAUAUCUAUCCACCCUACCUUACCCUGUUCCUUCCCAUGGUAACCCACUGUCAGGCUCUUGCCCAUGGUUUGCCCUCCCUCCAUGUCCUGUAUGACUCUGGUUUUUCCCCACCUGGCGUGGCGUGCCCUCUCCUCCUGGGAUCUGGGGGUGUAACUGUGUCUUUCUUACCACCAGCAGUUCUGACAGAUGUCAGAACAGGGGAUCCCCAUACCAACAACCAGACACCAAUGUCCAGGGAUCCAGGUAGGUUCUGACCCUCUGUACCUGGAGACAGCAUCCGACCCUAUGAAUUAAGGCUUGUCCCACAAGACCCACCCCGUCCUCACUUCAGAUGCCAGCCAAAAGUCCCAAUUUGCCAUCUGCAUUUCUGACCAAGUGGCUAUAAGUCAGGGUUUCUCACACCCCCUCCUCAGGUUUGACAAUUUGCUGGCACAGCUUGUAGAACUCAGGAAAGUGCUUUGCUGAAAACUAGUUUAUUAUCAGAAAAUACAACUUAGAGCUGAACAGAAGAGACGCACAGGGGCACCUGGCUGGCUCAGCCAGUACAGCGUGUGACAGUUGAUCUCAGGGUGGUGAGUUCAAGUGCCACAUCAGGUGUAGGGUUUACUUAAAAAAGAAAAAUGAAUAAAAUACAAACUACUAGAAGGACCAUUGUGCCCAGAUUCUAACAUCUCUAUAAAAAAAGCGAUGCAUAGAGCAAGGUAUGCAGGCUGCCCCCAGACACAGCUUCAUGCCCUCGGCGGGUGUGUCGCCCUCCUGUUGCCUUGAUGGGCUUGCUUACCCAGAAAUUCACCAAACUCCAUCAUUCAGGGGUUUUAUGGAGAUUUCAUGAUAUAGGCACAAUUGAUUGAAUCCCUGGCCACCGUGAUUGACUCAGCCUUCAGCACCCCCCCUCUGUGCCUUGCACUGAAGGCUCCCAUCCUCCAACCACACCUGGGUCUGGGUGGCAGCCAGCUGCCCUGCUGAAGCCACGUAGGGGCCACCAGUCAGCCCGCUGGCACACAAGACGCCAUUCUGCAGAGUCCAAGGCUGUUAGUCCAAGGAGAUAAGUGCCAGGAACUGCCCACAAAGACCAAAUAUUAAAACAAAUAAUGCCCCUACCCCCCAUCACUCAGGAAGUUACAACAGUUUUGGAAGGUGAGUCAGGAACCAAGACAAAUACUACUUAUAAACUACAUUUUCAAUGGCAAACAAUCAUCCCAAUCUGCUGGCCUCACCGUACCUGAAGAAUAAUGAAACCUCUCUCUCUCUCUCUUUUUUAAAGAUUUUAUUUAUGUAUUUGAGAGAGAGGGAGGGAGAGAGAGAAAGAGAGCACAAGUGGGGGGAGGGGCUGAGGGAGAAGCAGACUCCCUGCUGAACAUGGGGCUCGAUCCCAGCACCCUGGGAUCACACCCUGAGCUGAAGGCAGAAAUUUGACUGAGCCACCCAGGUGCUCCACUAACUGGGAUUUAUUUUUUUUAUUUUAUUUUUGUUUUAAAGAUUUAAAAAAAAAAAAAAAG